UAUAAAACAACCUGGCAAAAUUUCAUGUUAAUUGGUUUGAUAUUCUUUAAACUAAAACGAUUUAAAGUAGGAUAAAUUGUCAGUAAUUGUGCGAAUUUCUUUCGCGCGGUCAAUCAAGGUAUCAUAUGGCCUGUGACGUAGGCGUAUGGACAUAUCACAAUGUUUUAUAUUUGCAAGUAUGGCGGAAUCACAAAAAGCUCCUGUGAAGCGAGGUGGAAGAUACUGUGUUUGUGGCGGUCCUGGUGGUGUUAGUUGCAAAAAUUCUACGCACACACCAGGAAUAAUUAUGCAUAAAUUUCCUUCGGAAAAAACAAGACCGGACGAACGAAGAUUGUGGACAAAAUUUGUGAGAAGACACCGCACAAAUUUCUCACCC